rnacentral:rRNA from 1 species
GUGGGGAAUCUUAGACAAUGGGGGAAACCCUGAUCUAGCCAUGCCGCGUGAUCGAUGAAGGCCUUAGGGUUGUAAAGAUCUUUCAGGUGGGAAGAUAAUGACUGUACCACCAGAAGAAGCCCCGGCUAACUCCGUGCCAGCAGCCGCGGUAAUACGGAGGGGGCUAGCGUUGUUCGGAAUUACUGGGCGUAAAGCGCACGUAGGCGGAUUGGAAAGUUGGGGGUGAAAUCCCGGGGCUCAACCCCGGAACUGCCUUCAAAACUCCCAGUCUUGAGUUCGAGAGAGGUGAGUGGAAUUCCGAGUGUAGAGGUGAAAUUCGUAGAUAUUCGGAAGAACACCAGUGGCGAAGCCGGCUCACUGGCUCGAUACUGACGCUGAGGUGCGAAAGCGUGGGGAGCAAACAGGAUUAGAAACCCCUGUAGUCC